GUCCCAGCAGAGGAGCCUCUGUUUCCUCUACCCAGUCUGACAGGAAAUAGUUCUGUGCUCUCUGAGAGCACUUCCUGUAAGACUGGGUAGAGGCUCCUCUACCACAGUCAGCCUGCUCG